rnacentral:rRNA from 1 species
GAUGAACGCUGGCGGCGUGCCUAAUACAUGCAAGUCGAGCGAACAGACGAGGAGCUUGCUCCUCUGACGUUAGCGGCGGACGGGUGAGUAACACGUGGAUAACCUACCUAUAAGACUGGGAUAACUUCGGGAAACCGGAGCUAAUACCGGAUAAUAUAUUUAACCGCAUGGUUCAAUAGUUAAAGACGGUUUUGCUGUCACUUAUAGAUGGAUCCGCGCCGCAUUAGCUAGUUGGUAAGGUAACGGCUUACCAAGGCGACGAUGCGUAGCCGACCUGAGAGGGUGAUAGGCAACACUGGAACUGAGACACGGUACAGACUCCUAGGGGAGGAAGCAGUAGGGAAUCUUCCGCAAUGGGCGAAAGCGUGACGGAGCAACGCCGCGUGAGGGAUGAAGGACUUAGGAUCGUAAAACGAUGUUAUUAGGGAAGAACAAAUGUGUAAGUAACUAUGCACGUCUUGACGGUACCUAAUCAGAAAGCCACGGCUAACUACGUG